UACGGGGGGGGCAAGCGUUGUUCGGAAUUACUGGGCGUAAAGGGCUCGUAGGUGGCCAACUAAGUCAAACGUGAAAUCCCUCGGCUUAACCGGGGAACUGCGUCUGAUACUGGAUGGCUUGAGUUUGGGAGAGGGAUGCGGAAUUCCAGGUGUAGCGGUGAAAUGCGUAGAUAUCUGGAGGAACACCGGUGGCGAAGGCGGCAUCCUGGACCGACACUGACGCUGAGGAGCGAAAGCCAGGGGAGCAAACGGG
rnacentral:rRNA from 1 species